rnacentral:rRNA from 1 species
GACGAACGCUGGCGGUGUGCUUAACACAUGCAAGUCGAACGGAAAGGCCCUGCUUUUGUGGGGUGCUCGAGUGGCGAACGGGUGAGUAACACGUGAGUAACCUGCCCUUGACUUUGGGAUAACUUCAGGAAACUGGGGCUAAUACCGGAUAGGAGCUCCUGCUGCAUGGUGGGGGUUGGAAAGUUUCGGCGGUUGGGGAUGGACUCGCGGCUUAUCAGCUUGUUGGUGGGGUAGUGGCUUACCAAGGCUUUGACGGGUAGCCGGCCUGAGAGGGUGACCGGCCACAUUGGGACUGAGAUACGGCCCAGACUCCUACGGGAGGCAGCAGUGGGGAAUAUUGCACAACGGGCGGAAGCCUGAUGCAGCAACGCCGCGUGCGGGAUGACGGCCUUCGGGUUGUAAACCGCUUUCGCCUGUGACGAAGCGUGAGUGACGGUAAUGGGUAAAGAAGCACCGGCUAACUACGUG